GGAUGAGAAAACCUUACCCCUAUGCCCCUGACAACAGAUGACGGGAAGCGAUUGGCCUACUGAGG
rnacentral:snoRNA from 1 species